UACGAAGGGGGCUAGCGUUGCUCGGAAUCACUGGGCGUAAAGGGUGCGUAGGCGGGUCUUUAAGUCAGGGGUGAAAUCCUGGAGCUCAACUCCAGAACUGCCUUUGAUACUGAAGAUCUUGAGUUCGGGAGAGGUGAGUGGAACUGCGAGUGUAGAGGUGAAAAUUCGUAGAUAUUCGCAAGAACACCAGUGGCGAAGGCGGCUCACUGGCCCGAUACUGAACGCUGAGGCACGAAAGCGUGGGGAGCAAA
rnacentral:rRNA from 1 species